AUGGAUUGGUUUCUUGUUUUUUUUUGGUGUUGCAGGGAGGUUUUAAUUGGAGCAAGGUAUCGGUUUUGGCAAGCAUCUAAAACAAAUAUUAGGGACUAUUUUAGGCAAUUGGAAAGGUUUGGCAUGAGGACAAAUGUUGGAGCUUACCGAGUUUGUAUAUGCAGGGCAUUAAACUUCUGUUUUAAAUUUGGGUUAACUCCUCUUUCUCUAGUUUUCUAUUUUUAA